rnacentral:rRNA from 1 species
CCUACGGGAGGCAGCAGUGAGGAAUCUUGGUCAAUGGCCGGAAGGCUGAACCAGCCAUGCCGCGUGAAGGUCAGUGCCCUAUGGGCGUUAAACUUCUUUUGUGCGGGAGCAAUAAUGGUCACGUGUGGCCAGACGAGAGUACCGUACGAAUAAGCCUCGGCUAACUACGUGCCAGCAGCCGCGGUAAUACGUAGGAGGCGAGCGUUAUCCGGAAUGACUGGGCGUAAAGGGUGCGUAGGUGGUUUGGCAAGUUAGUAGCGUAACUCCAAGGCUCAACCUUGGAACUACUACUAAAACUGUUGGACUUGAGUGCAGGAGGGGCAACCGGAAUUCCUGGUGUAGCAGUGGAAUGCGUAGAUAUUAGGAGGAUCACCAGUGGCGAAGGCGGGUUGCUAGACUGUAACUGACACUGAGGCACGAAGGCGUGGGGAGCAAACAGGAUUAGAUACCCUAGUAGUC